rnacentral:tRNA from 1 species
AAGGGAGACCUAAUUCAGGUAGGAGACGAAAAAAAAGUAGUCGCUACCAAGAAUCAAUCCCAAAAGGUCGGAGCGAGGCGAAAUUGGCUUUCAAACUAGGUUCUGGGUUCACACAAGACCUGAAUCAGGAACAAGGGCUAUUAGCUCAGGUGGUUAGAGUGCACCCCUGAUAAGGGUGAGGUCCCUGGUUCGAGUCCAGGAUGGCCCACCUGUACAGGUGGCAAAAAGAAAGAAAAGAAGCGAGGAAUCAGCACCUUAUCUUACUGACAUAGUAAGAGAGAAUGCUGGCUCUGAGUAAAGAGUCCAGAGGAACCUUGAAAACUGCAUAGAGCUAGGUGAAAAAGCCAAAAAAGAAGACCGCAA